ACGGGUGAGUAAUGCUUGGGAAUCUGCCCAAUAGUGGGGGAAAACUCGGGGAAACCCGGGCUAAUACCGCAUAAUCUCUACGGAGGAAAGAGGGCCUCUACAUGUAAGCUCUCGCUAAUGGAUGAGCCCAAGUCAGAUUAGCUAGUUGGUAAGGUAAUGGCUUACCAAGGCUACGAUCUGUAGCUGGUCUGAGAGGAAGAUCAGCCACACUGGGACUGAGACACGGCCCAGACUCCUACGGGAGGCAGCAGUGGGGAAUAUUGCACAAUGGGGGAAGCCCUGAUGCAGCCAUGCCGCGUGUGUGAAGAAGGCCUUCGGGUUGUAAAGCACUUUCAGUUGUGAGGAAAGGUUGGUAGUUAAUACCUGCCAGCUGUGACGUUAACAACAGAAGAAGCACCGGCUAACUCCGUGCCAGCAGCCGCGGUAAUACGGAGGGUGCGAGCGUUAAUCGGAAUUACUGGGCGUAAAGCGGACGCAGGCGGUUUGUUAAGCUAGAUGUGAAAGCCCCGGGCUCAACCUGGGAUGGUCAUUUAGAACUGGCAGACUAGAGUCUUGGAGAGGGGAGUGGAAUUCCAGGUGUAGCGGUGAAAUGCGUAGAUAUCUGGAGGAACAUCAGUGGCGAAGGCGACUCCCUGGCCAAAGACUGACGCUCAUGUCCGAAAGUGUGGGUAGCGAACAGGAUUAGAUA
rnacentral:rRNA from 1 species